rnacentral:lncRNA from 1 species
UGAGGUUGCUUAGGAAACCACCCCACAAUGGCAGGAGACACCAUGAGAUGUUUUCUACUGUAGAAACUUUCUCAUUAGAAAUAGCCCAUUUAUACAGGGGACUGGCUAAUGUUUUUCUAUGAGUAUCAUUAGCCAGUGUCUCAAAGUGGUGAAGAGUAAGUAUAUAGCAUCUUUCAAAACACAACCUGUGGAAGGCUAGGCAGGGAGUCAGGAAAGGCUGGAGUCACCAUGGUCACUUAUUGGUAUCUCCUCCAGUCCCAGAAGGAGGAGUUGAGGCCGACAUUGGACAAACAAAGCCUUAAUUUAAAAGCAGGUAACCUCAUGAUUUAGAGGCAUUAGCUUCUUUUCCUACAAGCUUAGUGUGGGGUCAAGGUUACCUCUGGUCCAGAAUAUCUGGCAUAUGACAUAUUUGCAGGUAAGCUGUUUAGUAUUAAAAUGGCUUUGACAGCAUAUUUACUGUUAGGUUAAAGGACUAUAGACCAGUUGUUAAUAUGAGAAAUAUAGCCAGGAGAUGACUCUAACACAACGCUAACAGGAAGAAAGCCUGAGUCAGGCACUUUGCAUCCCCCAUGCCUUUCAAACCUGAUGGACUGCAACCUGGAACAAGGAGAGACAAAGGGAAGGAGGAGUCUGGAGCCAUAUUGAAGAUGAAAUUGAGAUAUGGACUAGGUGGUGGAUCGUUUUUAUAAGAGGACAUAAAAGAGGAUGCUAAAGCUAAUUGCCACAAUCAGAACUCAAAGACCUAGCAAAUGCAAGGUGGUAUUUAUUCUAAACUCAGCAAAGUAGUAGAAAAAUAGUUUUGAGAACAGUUUUAAGGAGACUAGGGUAACAGUGAGAAAAUAGUUCAUGGCUAGUCUGGACUUAGGACUUUAGGGUCGGCCUGGUGAAUUGAAGGGAAGCAGCUGAUACACUCUGGUUGCCUUGUACCCUGGCUUUUGGUGCUUUCCCAUGUGCUGUAGUCAUCAGUAAUCUGACACUGGCCACCUCCCUGAACCUGGGCCAAGAUGAGGGUCUACACCUUGGCUUAGUUCUACUAUGAAAGACUUUCCUGCAGUAAAAGUUACCUGUCUGAAACAUUCAGAAGAGUGAAAAUGCCACAUCUCCAAUUUCCAGCAAUAUAUUUGUCUGCCAUGAUUUGGCCUGGAAGCUUAAGCAGGAAGACCACUUGGAGCCAGACUUCAGAGUGAUCUGUCUCUAAGGAAUAACUUUGCUAAAGGCAGACAGAGGCAAACCAAGAAAUCCAGACUUUGCAUCAGGAUACAAUAAGAAGUCAGCAGUCUGCAACCCAGAAGAGGACCCUCACUGGAACCCAGGAAUGUUGGCA